rnacentral:rRNA from 1 species
GUCGAGCGCCCCGCAAGGGGAGCGGCAGACGGGUGAGUAACGCGUGGGAACGUACCUUUUGCUACGGAAUAACUCAGGGAAACUUGUGCUAAUACCGUAUGUGCCCUUCGGGGGAAAGAUUUAUCGGCAAAGGAUCGGCCCGCGUUGGAUUAGCUAGUUGGUGAGGUAAAGGCUCACCAAGGCGACGAUCCAUAGCUGGUCUGAGAGGAUGAUCAGCCACACUGGGACUGAGACACGGCCCAGACUCCUACGGGAGGCAGCAGUGGGGAAUAUUGGACAAUGGGCGCAAGCCUGAUCCAGCCAUGCCGCGUGAGUGAUGAAGGCCCUAGGGUUGUAAAGCUCUUUCACCGGUGAAGAUAAUGACGGUAACCGGAGAAGAAGCCCCGGCUAACUUCGUGCCAGCAGCCGCGGUAAUACGAAGGGGGCUAGCGUUGUUCGGAUUUACUGGGCGUAAAGCGCACGUAGGCGGACUUUUAAGUCAGGGGUGAAAUCCCGGGGCUCAACCCCGGAACUGCCUUUGAUACUGGAAGUCUUGAGUAUGGUAGAGGUGAGUGGAAUUCCGAGUGUAGAGGUGAAAUUCGUAGAUAUUCGGAGGAACACCAGUGGCGAAGGCGGCUCACUGGACCAUUACUGA